rnacentral:lncRNA from 1 species
CUCCUCUCAGCAUGCCUCCAGCAAGGCCUCUUCACCCUGGCAGAGGCCAUUCCUUCCAGUAGCAAGGCUGAAUGAGUUUGCUGUUUUUCCAACACUCACAGAUACAGCCUCAUUGCACCCCCUCCUCAGAGUUUGGGUCGAGGCCCCCGUGCGCUCGUCCUCCUAGCUCAGAGAUGCCAGCACCAGCCACGCAGCAUCUCCUUCUUAGAGGUCUGCGUCUCAGCUCCACGGCACUCCUCCUCUAAGAUGCAAAUAUAUUUUGCCUGUUGGAAGGCAAACGACCAUUGCCCUGAAGAGAGUGACCAGUUUGGCAACUACAGGCACAUGCUGCAUAACAAUGCUUCUGCCCAGGACAGACAGCAUACACCGUGGUGGUCCCAUCAGAUUAGCACCAUGUAGCCUAGCUCCUGGUGGACGAGGGUACAGCUGCGUGGUCGCUCAGUUCUCAGAGCGUCAGCCUCCUCAGUUACCAGCUGGGGCUCUCAAAUCUUCCCUGCUCGCCUCAACGAGUCAAACAGAGUCGUGGGUGUGGAAGAACCUUGAGGAGCCUGAGAGCCCCACACACAGUAAAUUGAUUUCAUGACCUAUCAACGGUCAUGACACACAACUUGGAAAACACUAUGCUAAAAAGGCAGAAAUGAUGCCAGAGGGAGAGAGAAUCAAACGACGCAAAUGGCACAGACGCCGACAUGUUGCAGAUGUCUCCGAGGUGGCUCGGGCACAAGACAGACAGAGCCGGACAGGAAGAACCACUCACCCACAGACGCCGACAUGACACCCCGAGAAGGGCAGAGAUGGAGACAGGUGAGGUCAAGUGGAAAUCGCAGAGGCCCAGGGCCAGGGAGCUGGAGACAGAGAGACGGGAAAUUAAAAAUGAGAUGCCGGGACAGAAACACGCCCGGGCGGGGAAAUGGAGAUUCUGAGACUGAGAUGCAGCGGAGGAGGGCGAUGGGCCUGUGCGAGAGCCACGGACUCGGAGAACGGAGGCCACCUCUGGGCUGGGAUCCCCCGCUGACUAGCUGUGUGGCCUUGGCUGAACCACGUGGCCUCUUGUGGCCUCUGCUUCCUUCUCUGAGAAACGGGACUAUGACCUCCUUCGCAGGAGAAAGUCACGAUGGGUGCUAGGCCUCCCGGUCUCUGAAGGGCUGUCCCCUGAGCCCCUGCCCUUGACCGGAUGGAGAGUCUUAACUGCCACCCACCCAAGGCGUCCCCAGCGUCUGUCCCCCGACAGUCCCCUCCCCUACGCCUCCCAAAGGAGGGAAACCCAUUUCCCUGGGAACAGCUGUGUUUCCUCAACAAACAAAUGUUCUCUUAAAACGUUUCUGAGGAAGAGCGGAUGGUAAUGAGUGAACAUCUGGCCCAUCGGCACACUUUCGUUUUUG